GGCGCACGGGUGAGUAACGCGUGGAUAAUCUACCCUUAAGUCGGGAAUAACUUAUCGAAAGGUGAACUAAUACCCGAUAACACUGCAUAACUACUGUUGUGUAGUCAAAGAAGGCCUCUGCUUGCAAGCUUUCGCUGAAGGAUGAGUCCGCGUACCAUUAGCUAGUUGGUAGGGUAAUGGCCUACCAAGGUUAUGAUGGUUAGCUGGUCUGAGAGGAUGAUCAGCCACACUGGAACUGAAACACGGUCCAGACUCCUACGGGAGGCAGCAGUGAGGAAUAUUGCGCAAUUGGGGCAACCCUGACGCAGCAACGCCGCGUGAGUGAGGAAGGUUUUCGGAUUGUAAAGCUCUGUCGAGCGGAAAGAAAUGCAUGAUGGCUAAUAUCCAUCAUGCUUGACGGUACCGCUAGAGGAAGCACCGGCUAACUCCGUGCCAGCAGCCGCGGUAAUACGGGGGGUGCAAGCGUUGUUCGGAAUUAUUGGGCGUAAAGAGCGUGUAGGCGGCUAGACAAGUCAGAUGUGAAAUCCCUGGGCUUAACCCA
rnacentral:rRNA from 1 species